UAACACAUUCUACAGUAGGAUCAUUUCUAUAGGAAUCGUCACUCUUUGACUCUUCAAAAGAGCCACUGAAUCCAACUUGGUUGAUGAGCCCCAUAACCUUUGUACCCCAGAGUGAGGAACUAAAAUUAAAUCUAAAUUAGCUUGGUCCGCAAUCCUUAGCGGUUCGGCCAUCUAUAAUUUUGAAUCAAAAUUUUGCUUUGCCGUUGCAUUUGUAAUUUCUUCUUCGGAAGUUAUUACGAUAUAAAAUGGCGCGAUGAUCUUGACCCAUCCUAUGUACUUCCUUUUUGGAAGGGAUAGGGCUUCAUGGGUGGGUACAAAUGGCAGUCUGACAAGU
rnacentral:snoRNA from 20 species